ACAGGACACGAACCUGCACCUUAAGGCCCAAAACCUCACGUACUUCAAUAUACUACUCUCUAGUAAAGUCAGC
rnacentral:tRNA from 1 species